AGCCAACAGUGUUCACCUGGGAGGGGGAGGGAAGGGACCGGAGGAAUGGGGCUCCGCUUUGAAGGUCAGAGAGCAUCUCGGAGCUGUCACGGCCCGGCUGCCCGCCGCGCGGGACCAACUUCCUUCCCGUCCUCGCCGAUACCGACAAGGCACCUAGGCCGCGGCGAGGACGGCGCGGAGUGGCGGUGGAUGUGAUGGGGGGGGAGGAGGAGGCGAUCAGCAGCAGCAGCAGCAGAGGCUGGAGCGAUCGCUGUGAGGGACUGUUUUCUGACUGUCAGACAGACCCGCUCCUCCUCCCUGCCUUUUCCCUUCAUCUCUCCUCCUCCAACAUCGGCAGAAUGUUUUAACCUCUCGGAAGACCCUGGCGUAUCUGCUGUUAUGGUGGCAGGAGUGGGAUUCUUCACCUCAGCAGGACCUGUGUGGGAAAAAGCCCUGCUUGGUAUUUAAAAGCGGAAGGGCUUUUUGCUGUAAGACAAAUUGAAACGCAGGAGGCUAGAGAGGAAUGUGGCUGUCAGAGUCAACAGCUGCUAGUUUUUCGCUGUGAAUAAUCAUUGAGGUUGACCCAUGGAAGCUGAGGAUUGUGUAACACAUAUUUCACAAAAUUAAAGGUCAAUGCAAACAUA
ensembl:lncRNA